ACUGACGCCACCACCACCACUGCCACCACCGCCACAACAAGGGUUAUUCAAAUGGGGAACAUGCUUCAGGUGUUGCCCCAAGAUGCCUCAGCCCCGCAGCCCCACUUCCCCAUGAUAGUGCAGGCAGGGAAUGUCAUACAGGUUGUUCCAGCUGACAACACGCAGGUAUUAGGGGCAGAAGUCGUUGGAGUUGGUCGGGUCAUGCAAGUGGUCGGAGUCCCAGGCUUUCCCCCGACCCCAGCCCCAGACCCCUGCCCCAGCCACCCCUCUCCCUGUGACCCCUGCCCAGUCAUCCCUCACCCCCUCCUGCCCCCCUGCGGUGCUGCCAGCGGGGGUGAUGGGAGGUGGAGGUGGGCCACACACACCUGGGUUAGCUGUGGCUUGGCUUAUCUCCCUCCUCAGCAGCAAAUCCCGAGGAUCAACGAGGACAUGGUGGACCCAGAGAUUGCAGCAGCAGCAAGAGAGAGAGAGAGAAGCAAGAGAGGAGGGAGAGGAAGGAGAGGAGGAGGAGAGAGAGGGAGGCCAGGAGGGAGGCACGUCAGAGAGAGAGGGAGAGGAAGAGGUUGAUUCUGUUACAACAACAACUGCAACAACAACAACAGUUAGUCAGUGAGGAGGGGGAGGGGCCGUCCUCUGAUGCUGAGGAUGAGGUAUUGUUCAGGGAGGCCAUGUCGGAGGUGCCGGUGGUGGGGUCGCCAGUUCCGGAGUACGAGGUGGAGGAGGAAAAGGAAGAGGAGGACGAGGAGGAGGCACGGAUAAGGAAGAAGAAAAGAUUAUUACCUGUAGCCCUCCCUCCAGCUGAUAAGGGGAUAUUAAGGAGCCCUUCCUACAGGUUCGUUCGAUGCAAGGAGUUGGCACAGGAGGCGUCCGAGGCUGUGUAGAGCGGCCGUCUGAACCUGGUGCCACAGCUUACUAUGUUCAACAGGUGCGUGUGUGUGUGUGUGUGUGUGUGUGUGUGUGUGUGUGUGUGUGUGUGUGUGUGUGUUUUGUGUGGUCAUUUCACUAUCUAUCUAUCUGUUUAGUUUGUCUCCAUCUGUCUGUCUUUCUGUCAUUGGUCUGUCUGUCUGUCUGUGUAUUGCAAUGAUUUUUCAGUUAUGUAUUUUAUUUUUUAUUCUUGUGUACUUGUGUCUGUCUGUAUGUAUGUAUGUAUCAGUCAGUGAGUCAGUCAGUCAGUCACUCAGUUAGUCAGUCAUUCAGUCAGUCAGUUAGUCAGUCAUUCAGUCAGUUAGUGAGUUAGUCAGUUAGUCAGUCUGUCAGUCACUCACACAGUGUUAAUCCUCCUCUUCCUCCUCCUCCUCCUCCUCCUCCUCCUCCUCCUCCUCCUCCUCCUCCUCCUCCUCCUCCUCCUCCUCCUCCUCCUCCUCGUCCACCUCCUCCUCCUCCUCCUCCUCCUCCUCCUCCUCCUCCUCCUCCUCCUCCUCCUCCUCCUCCUCCUCCUCCUCCUCCUGUUCCCCACCACCCCUGCCAAGAGGUGAGUGUAUGUACGUGUGUGUGUGUGUGUGUGUGUGUGUGUGUGUGUGUGUAGUAAUAAUAGUAAUGCUAUGUACAUAUAUAAAUACUGUUAAUAUUAUUGAUAAAAAAUAUUGAUGAUGAUGAUGAUGAUGAUUCAGUGGUGAUUAUGAAAAUGUGCAUUACAAUAUAGGGUAGAUAUUAUUGUUAUUACCUGUGUGUGUGUGUGUGUGUGUGUGUGUGUGUGUGUGUGUGUGUGUGUGUGUGUGUGUGUAUGUGUGUGUGUGAGGAAUAAUUGAAUAAUUGAAUAAUUGAUGCUCUCUCCUUUGCUAUUCAUUAUAUACAUGGACAGAUGCCUGAAGGAAGUGUGUGUAAGGGAGGAUAAAGAGAUCAUGCUGGCCUAUGCAGACGAUGUCGCUGUCGUGACAGGAAGCCAACAAGAUCUUCAAGAGGCCAUGACAAGAUGGAAUGAUGUUUUAAAUAGGGAAGGAAUGAGAAUGAACAAACAAAAAACUUAUUUACUAGUGGACAAGCAACAAGUGAUGGUGUGGCUCUGAGCCACUGUAGUAGGGAUGUUAUGGUUUAAGUGUAGGAAGUUGCAAAUGCUCACCUAACAAUUGCACCUUAGUAGAAAAACACAAACAGGAAGUUUAUGCAAGUUUUUAUCCUUAUAUAAAAUGUUGUAUUGCAUCAAACCUCCAUACAUUACUGUCUCUAUCCAGUAUGAGACCGGUGUUCAGGAAGCACAAGCAUGUGCUGAAUAACAAGAAGCCGGCAUUGGUGAAGGUGACAACAUUUCAUCUAUUUAUACAUACUUUUUAUUAUUAAAGCUUAUCUUAUAAUUAUUUCUGAAGAGAUUGACUAAUUUUUGUAGUAUUUAUGACUUAGAACUACGAGUAUGAUAAAGCUAUGAAUUGAUAUAAUUCCUGAUUUGUUUUAUCUUUUCAUUAUCCUUCCUUUGUUAAUUGAGCAUUUUAUAUUACUUAGCUUAAAAAUGCAAGAACGGUUCAGAAGUAUCCAACCUUGGGCUAAGGGCCAAAAUUAUGGUAUCAUUCAAAAUGUCCUUCAAAGAAAGCCCUCUGUAAUCCAACACACUUAGCCCAUUAAUCCUUCCAUUUCUCAUCAAUUUGUUCAACAUUCAUAUUUUUCCCUUAUAGGGUUGAACAAUUUUCAUGGGUUCAGAGCAAAAGGCUUCCUCAUUCCUCCCCAAGGUAUUCUCGGAUGGUAAGCAGGUUUGACUCUGGAGCAAACCUGACCAAGGGCUACUGCCCAAGGCUACAGAGGUUCCUCUCCCUGAGGCUGAAUGCACCAUGUGAGAUGGUUCUGUUAUGUGGAUGAAUGUCAUGGUGGAUAGCAGUGCCACCACAUUCCUACAAUCAUCCAUCACUCCACUGCUCAAACGCUUCUGCAACCAAUGAUAGGUAUGCUGCCACAUUCUGCAUGGUCUCCUUGGCUCUCAGAUAAGGAUACUGUCAACAGGUUUGGGAUUGCCAAAAAAUCAUAAGGAGCUAUGUCUGAAAAGUCCAGAGAGAGAGAGAGAGAGAAAGAAUGAGCAAGAGAAAGAGUAGGAUGAAGCAAAGGAAGAGUCAAGAGGGAGGAAGAGAGAGUAGGACAAGAAAAAACAGAACAAAUAAAUCCCCUACACGUCUUGUCUCCAUUCACACAAGCCAUGAAAAGCUUGUCCAUCCCUGAGUGCUCAGAAGCAGUGUUCCACUGAUGAUGUGGAAACUUGAGACACCCAAUCAUUUAAUGGGCUUUAGUAGGUUUUGUCACCAGUCUUCUGUGUGUCACUGACUACAUUUUGAAAUUUUUAUCUGUUCUAUUUAAUUUUGUGUGUAUGUACACAAUGUUUAUGGUCAAUAAACUAUUUAUAAAACUAUUUAUCUGUGUGAGUAAGAUAAAAGCAGUUAUUGUUAUUAUUAUUAUUAUUAUUAUUAUUAUUAUUAUUAUUAUUAUUAUUAUUAUUAUUACACAUUUUCCUCCUUGUAUUUAAAUAUUAUUAUUAUUAUUAUUAUUAUUAUUAUUAUUAUCAUGAAUUGUUCUUGUUUAUAAAUAAAAUACUGUAACUGA